rnacentral:rRNA from 1 species
GAUGAAGCCCAGCUUGCUGGGUGGAUUAGUGGCGAACGGGUGAGUAACACGUGAGUAACCUGCCCUUAACUCUGGGAUAAGCCUGGGAAACUGGGUCUAAUACCGGAUAGGAGCGUCCACCGCAUGGUGGGUGUUGGAAAGAUUUAUCGGUUUUGGAUGGACUCGCGGCCUAUCAGCUUGUUGGUGAGGUAAUGGCUCACCAAGGCGACGACGGGUAGCCGGCCUGAGAGGGUGACCGGCCACACUGGGACUGAGACACGGCCCAGACUCCUACGGGAGGCAGCAGUGGGGAAUAUUGCACAAUGGGCGCAAGCCUGAUGCAGCGACGCCGCGUGAGGGAUGACGGCCUUCGGGUUGUAAACCUCUUUCAGUAGGGAAGAAGCGAAAGUGACGGUACCUGCAGAAGAAGCACCGGCUAACUACGUGCCAGCAGCCGCGGUAAUACGUAGGGUGCGAGCGUUAUCCGGAAUUAUUGGGCGUAAAGAGCUCGUAGGCGGUUUGUCGCGUCUGUCGUGAAAGUCCGGGGCUUAACCCCGGAUCUGCGGUGGGUACGGGCAGACUAGAGUGCAGUAGGGGAGACUGGAAUUCCUGGUGUAGCGGUGGAAUGCGCAGAUAUCAGGAGGAACACCGAUGGCGAAGGCAGGUCUCUGGGCUGUAACUGACGCUGAGGAGCGAAAGCAUGGGGAGCGAACAGGAUUAGAUACCCUGGUAGUCCAUGCCGUAAAACGUU